rnacentral:ncRNA from 1 species
CUCUUAUCCAGAGUCGGUGGAGGGACAGGCCCUUUGAAGCCCGGCAACCCGUCAUUCAAAUGACAUGGUGCUAACCUGAAGCAAGGAGAUCUAUCACUCCUUGGACGAUAAGAG